rnacentral:tRNA from 5 species
AGGCGCGUAGCUCAGUGGGAGAGCGCUACCUUGACAUGGUAGAAGUCGGCGGUUCGAAACCGCCCGUGCCUACCA